UAUGGUAAUUGUGUGCGCCGCCGCGGUCCUACGUAGGUGGCGAGCGUUGUCCGGACUUCUUGGGCGUCAAGAGCCUGUCGGCGGCUUAAUAAGUCGAGCGUGAAAAUGCGGGGCUCAACCCCGUAUGGCGCUGGAAACUGUUAGGCUUGAGUGCAGGAGAGGAAAGGGGAAUUCCCAGUGUAGCGGUGAAAUGCGUAGAUAUUGGGAGGAACACCAGUGGCGAAGGCGCCUUUCUGGACUGUGUCUGACGCUGAGAUGCGAAAGCCAGGGUAGCGAACGGG
rnacentral:rRNA from 1 species